rnacentral:rRNA from 1 species
GAGUGAAGCGGCUACAGCUCAAAUUUGAAAUCUGGCCUUGAGUUGUAAUUUGCAGAGGAUGCUUUGGCAUUGGCCGGUCUAAGUUCCUUGGAACAGGACAUCGCAGAGGGUGAGAAUCCCGUACGGGCGCCUGCCUUUGCCGUGUAGCUCCUUCGACGAGUCGAGUUGUUUGGGAAUGCAGCUCUAAAUGGGAGGUAAAUUUCUCCUAAAGCUAAAUACCGGCCAGAGACCGAUAGCGCACAAGUAGAGUGAUCGAAAGAUGAAAAGUACUUUGGAAAGAGAGUCAAAUAGCACGUGAAAUUGUUGAAAGGGAAGCGCUUGCAGCCAGACUUGCCCGCAGUCUCACCCAGGCUCUCGCCUGGGGCACUCUUGCGGCAGGCCAGCAUCAGUUUGGGCGGUCGGAUAAGGCUCCUGUCAUGUACCACCGGUGGCCUUAUAGGGGGGGCAUGCGCCAGCCCGGACUGAGGUCCGCGCAUCUGCUAGGAUGCUGGCGUAAUGGCUGUAAGCGGCCCGUCUUGAAACACGGACCAAGGAGUCUAACAUCUAUGCGAGUGUUUGGGUGUCAAGCCCGGGCGCGCAAUGAAAGUGAACGGAGGUGGGAACGGUGCACCAUCGACCGAUCCUGAUGUCUUCGGAUGGAUUUGAGUAAGAGCAUAGCUGUUGGGACCCGAAAGAUGGUGAACUAUGCUUGAAUAGGG